GACGAACGCUGGCGGCGUGCUUAACACAUGCAAGUCGAACGGGCCCGCCCCUGUUUUUGGGGGUGGGUUGAGUGGCGAACGGGUGAGUAUCACGUGAGUAACCUGCCCCCUGCUCCUGGAUAACUGCUUGAAAGGGCGGCUAAUACGGGGUGUGCCGGCUGGUCCGCAUGGGCCUGGUCGGGAUAGUUUCAUCUUCGGGUGUUUCGGUGGGGGAUGGGCUCGCGGCCUAUCAGCUUGUUGGUGGGGUGAUGGCCCACCAAGGCGGUGACGGGUAGCCGGCGUGAGAGGGUGGCCGGCCAGACUGGGACUGAGACACGGCCCAGACUCGUGCGGGAGGAAGCAGUGGGGGGUAUUGCACAAUGGGCGGAAGCCUGAUGCAGCGACGUCGCGUGAGGGAUGGAGGCCUUCGGGUUGUGAACCUCUUUCUCCGGUGGUGAAGGCCCUGUCCGUUGCGGCGGGGUUGACGGUAGCCGGGUAUGAAGCGCCGGCUAACUACGUG
rnacentral:rRNA from 1 species